rnacentral:lncRNA from 1 species
AGUAUUGGCAAGGAUGGGCAAUAGUGGAAUGUUCUACUGCUAGUGUUUGCCUUGUGAAUUAGGACAGAAUUUUCUGAGCUCAACUUGGAAAUACAAAGCAGAAAUUUUAAAGCUGUUCACACUUUGGGAUAAUUUUAUGUGUUAGCCAGAUUGGCAGCCUGAACAGAACAAAAAGGCUGACCUUUCUCCGAGAAGAGAGAAUUCUUCCUACCUGAUGGCCUUUGAACUUGGACAUCAGUUUUUUUCCUGCCCUCAGACUCAAAACAUUGACUCUUCUUGGGUCUUGAGCCUGCUGGAAUUCUGACUGGAAAUGCAAUGUUGGCUCUCUUGGAUCUUCCACUUGUGGAAUCAACCAGCAUAUUUUGAGAAUUCUCAGCCUAACCUUGCCAUGUGCCAGCUUCAGAGUCAAUUCAUCUCGAGGCAAGGGGACCAGCCUUCUGUAUUCUGGUAUCACUCAGUGACUGGCUAUGGAUUGCCCAGGGUUGGAAGGCUCAAGUGUAACCUCUGAGAUAAGAUGCUCCUGUUUCUUCAAGGUAAGUAAUUUAGAGAAGGUGCAGUUGUGAAUGCUUGGCAGCCAAAACUCACAACAGCUUUGCGAUGGACACAUCAGCCUUGUAAAUGUCCAUGGGACACUAAGACAAGGUAUAAAUGAAAGAUUUAUAAUUUGGAGGCCCCCACAUGGUCCACUUCUGGGGUAGAAAGGGGAGUGACUAACAUAAACAUUGUUGCAGGAGUGUGCAAAGAUGUAUGGGGCAGAACUAGUUUUAACUGGGUUUUAACACAGUAUGGCAACAAUAGAAGAGAUGGUACCCCCAAACUGGGGUAACCAGUUUGAUCAGUUUCUAAGAUUGUCUCUCCUUGAGACCUCUGGAAGCACAGCUGGCCUCCUUAGGCAGAGUAAGUUCCUGGGGUUCUUGAUUCACUUGGGAAACAAAGAGAGAUAAUAAGAUCUCUGAAAAUUUAUUACAUGAGAGGUUUGGAAGACGUGAUUUGUUAAAAGAAAAGGCAUGACCAUACUUGUGCCCUUAAGCUAGAGAACAGUGCUUAGAAAGUGUGGGCCUUCGAGGAGUUAGUUAUGGAUGAGGUGCAAAAGACACCCUCUAAAUUUCUGUUUCUCCCUCCAUUUGGGAUGAGAAUUAAUAACUCUGGGCAGAGGAAAUAGUAAUCCAGUACCAAGAAGGGUCAAUCUUGGGCCUAGAAAUGGAUUAGGAAAUGCACAGCAGGGGGCUGCUUAGUGAUAGACACACUAAGAUAAUUCUCUCCAUUUUGGCAGGGAUUGUUUACUUUUCAAACAAACACGGACGAAUACUUAGGUAAUUCAGUAAAGAUAUUAAAGAUUAAAAACUUGGAAUAUCAGAACCUUUUCAAAAUGCUGUUCAGAUUUACCUUUAUUUUUCCCAGCACUAACACUAAUAUUUGAACUUUGGUGAAAAAAUAUAUUUUUCUUAUAAUUCUUAAGUCUAUUUCCUUGUUCUUGCUAUUACAAAACCUUGGCUAGAUGUUUAAAAUAUCUGGCUACUAGAUAACAAAUAGUUCACCAUGAACAUUUAGAUUUUUAGAUUCUACGUAUUUUUUUGAACAGAUGAUAAAUUCACAUAGUUCAAAAUUCAGAAGGUGCAACACAGUAAAGAGUGACAGGUGGGUUUUGCUGAGAUGACUCACACUAACUCACAGGGCUACUGCGAGUAUCCUUUCCAACUCUCCAUGUAUGAACAUCAUGUUGACAUAUUGGAGUGGACGCAGCAGGAAUAUUUACACUACAGAAAUUGGCAAACACUAUAAAUCAAAGUCCUUAACCCCACCUAGUUGUUGAACAUUCACCACAUCACCAAGGUAAAAGUUCUCCUUUAUUCCUUCAUUUUCCACACAGCUGCUUAAUUCUCCCCAGGAGCCUCUUUGGGAUUAUUGAGAUGUCUUUCCAAAUGUAUUCUGAGCAUAGCAAUAAUAUAUUACACGUAAUAAAUAUAUAUAUUUACUUAUUUCUCUCUUUGUAACACAUCCAGUAACAUUUCCUUCAUGCUGUUCUGCCCCUUGAUUUUUCACUUAGCAAAAUACACUGGAAUCAUAUUGUAGUGGCGCAGACAGUGUUUCUAUUCUUUUUGUGCCCGCAAGGUAACCUAUUCUAUGGGUGAACCAAAAAUUUUACUUAAGCCAACAUUCUGCAUCUACAGGCAUGUGUAUCUUAAAUUUGAUGGAGAAUGCUAAAUCUACUUUCACAAAUGUUUCAAACUGCACUCCCUUGAGUGAUGUCUGAAGUAAACAUUUUUAUUUAAAAUGCAUAACCUUUCUAUCAUAUAGUCAUAUAAAGGUUCUGUUCUUUGUUAGAGAGAAGUAUUGUUUUCCAUUAUUCUUUAAUAAUUUCAGGAUAGAUACACAAUGCUAUAGUUCAUUAACUAAAAGCCUUCUUGACUAAAAAUCUCUUCUACAACUUCUUUAUUUUCACUGGUAGGGAUUUGAGAAAAAUGGCUUCACUCAAACCCUAGGGGGAAAAAAAUAUAAGAUUUGAUACAAGAGAAAUCUUUUUUGUAUCCACGUCUCCAAAUUCCUUUUUCAUUUUGUUAUUGCCCCCGCCCCACACACACACACACGUAUGAAAUGAUGUAGAGAAUUUAAGUUAGGCAGUGAUUUAUCAGAAAGAGCAGAGACACACAUUAAAAUGCUCAUCUUUAAAGAAUGAAAACGAACAAGUUUUUUUAAAUGACUUUACUGUACAUCUAACAAAAGAAUCAAUAUCUGGCUUUUGCAGGAGCAACCCUAUAGUGAAAAUAAAAUCACUCACCCUUGUAGCUUUAAACAACAAGCUUCUAUGCCUAGGGAGAAAAGGGCAUUUUCUAGAAAAGCUUUAAAAAAUAAUGAGAAGUGGAAAUUACUCAUGUUCCAUUCUUCUGAAAAGUUGUUUCUUGAAAGCAAAAUAAUUAAUGCACCAUUCCUAAUACCCAAAGUCUUAAAUAAUCUUCAUGAAAUUUACUAAGUAGUGAAGACUGAAGUGCAUGUUAGCCAAAAAUAAAUAAAUAAAAUAAAAUGAGAGCGAGAGAACACUUCAUAAAGUAUUACGUAAUCUGAAGACCUCAGGCAGGGAAAAUGCCAAUGCAGUUGUUAAAAUAAGCUUUUCAAAAGCUACAGGUAGGUAACCAAAGAAAAGAUAAACAAUAUUUUCUUUAAAUGAAAUAAAAGUGAAUGCAAAGUGGAAGAAGUCAACAUUUCAUAAUCACCAGUAGCCUUUAGGUUGUGUUCCCUAAAGCUCUGAUUCUACCACAUUAGGUAUUCUGGAAGUCUGCACUAUCUAUUAAAAAGAAAAAGGAGAUGAUGAUGCUCACAGCAUCAGCUAAUAUAAGCUGCUACAUUCCCUGCACCCGAAGGCACCUGCAUAUAUGCUUGAAUGAAAACCUCUCUGUUGGUUCUUAUGACCAUGAUUUUUGGCACAGUGGCUCUGGAAAACUAAGGUUCAGCCCCCCAGGACAAAGGUCCCCUUUACACAUGUAGCUCACAAGAUUGCUUUUAUUACAAUGUGUGUUCACUUUUGGCCUUCUAUGUAUAAAAAAUGUAUUUAUGAAAAUUAAUUUGGAGCGUCUGAACCAGUGAAAGAAGUUUAGAAGCAGGGAGCUGAAAAUGUACAUAUGAGGCUCAGAUACACAUUCAUGGAACUCUUAAACAUCACAGUUAAAAUCUGUGGUGAGGCAGAAUGAGAGGAGAAUAAUAAAAAUUACAGGGGAAAAAGAGCCAGUGAACAGACCAGGAGACACCAAGGGGAAUGGUAGAGGGUCACUGCUACAUUAGAAAGCAGGUGGCAAAGGCAGCCUAGUGGGGUGCCUUCUGAGCACCCUGAACCUGUCUUCAACCCUCUCUUAACUUUGUUUCCCCCAUCUGAAAACUGGGGAAGGCUGUCUAGACCUGAUACUCUACAGUCUCUGAUUUAUGUUUGUGCAGGAAUGUGAAAGGGAGAAGGAUGGGGCUGAAAGGCAUGGCAAGGACUACUGAUUUCCUCCCUCCCCUCUGACAUGAGCUGAGGCUUAAACAAUGAGGCUCCCCAAGCAUUCCCCACCUCCAUGUCCCAGCUCUCGUGCUAGGCUGGAGCCAUGGCCUAGAUCUGGUCAAUGAGUAGUGAACAACUGCUGUGUCAUUUGCAGGUGGGCACAUAGAAGAGCCCAGAUAUGGCCAUCCAGCUGUCUCCCUCCCACAAGCAAUUCCACAGUCACAGUUUUUGCAUGAUGAAGUUGUGUUGUUUAGGAAUUGAAGGUUGUAGCAACCCUGCACUGAGCAAGUCUAUCGGUGCCAUUUCUCCAACAUCAUUUGCCCACUUAGUGUCUGUCAUAUUUUGCUAAUUCUUGCAAUAUUUUGAACUUUAUUAUUAUAUGUGUUAUGGCGAUCUGUGAUCUGUGAUCACUGAUGUUACUCUACCACUUGCUGAAGGCUCAGAUAAUCGGUGGCAUUUUUUUAGCAGUAAAUUAUUUUUUAAUUAAGGUAUGUACAUUGUAUUUUCAGACACAAUGCUACUGCACACUUAGUAGAGUCCAAUAUAAUGCAAACAAAUUUUAUAUGCAUUUGGGAAACCAAAAUAUUCGUGCGACUUGCUUAUUUUAUCUCCUUGGCCUAGAACUGAACUUGCACUAUUUCAGAGGUAUGCCUGUGUAUGUAUGUAUGCAUAUGUGCAUAUGUAUGUAUGUAUAUAUGUGUGUAUACAUGUGCAUAUAAAUAUAUAGGCAGACAUUCUUCUCACCCGAUAAGACAGAAGAAUGGUAACAAUGGAGAGAAGAAAUGUUUGAACACAUGUGAAUAAAGAGAAAGGAGUGAGAAAAAAACAGAAAAGCUAAAUCACCUGGUAAAUAAGGAAAUGAUUGGUAGAAAGAGACUAUGAAUAGAAUAUUCUAGAAAGGUGGUUCAGAUCCAGGGGGAACCACUGCUCUGUAUGCUAUCAAGGGACCUGCAGGCUGUAAACUCACCUUUGCAGAAAAUCCACAAGGAAUAAGUCUGAGGUUAGUGAAGGAGGAGAACAUUAAUGGUUAACAUCUUCUGUUUCAGGUAUUGGUUCAGAAUUCAAAUGUCUUUUUUACUUUUUUUAAUUGUUCAUUUUUUUCCAGUCAUUUCCAGCUGAAGCACAGUAACCCUGAUACUGGCAUUCAGGGGUAAGACUGCCCUUUCCGAGGACCUGUUCAAAGUGAAAACUCAGAAAUGGGGUGGUAAGAACAUGUCUUCAAAGACCUCAUCCAAAAAUGCUAAGUUUUAAGGGGACAAGGCUAGAUUUAGAAGAAAGAAUCACUAAAAAAAAAAAAAAAAAAAAAAAA